rnacentral:lncRNA from 1 species
CAAUUGACUUAGACACUACCAUGCUUGGGUUUAACAAGAGUAGAUUUUGAUGAUUGCUCCACUCCCUUAACCUCUAAAAUUCACAAUCCAACCUUGUGCUUAAUUUAUUUUGAUGAUUACUACGAAUAUUUUUCCUGGUUCUUCUGACUCUCUAAAAGAUGAUGAACAAAAAUUGCUCUAGGCCAUGGUACAUAAGAUUGAAAUUUCCCCUAUUAAAUUGAUGAUAAGAUUUUAGCUACUUACCCAUGACCCAACUUGGUCCUGUUGGUGUGUUGCCACUAGGAGGACCCCUGCACUUGAUGUUUCCCAUGUCUUUGGAUUUUAGAAUGCUCAAGAAUCCAAGUGUGGGGGGGGUUCAAGUGGCCCCCCAACUAAGUCUCUGAAUAUUCUGAACACACCAUGACUUAGUACAUGGUGAGGCAAGUUGGCUCAACAAAUUCUACCCUAAGUAGGGGGUCGGCCGACCCCCUCUUUGACGGCCAAUGGGAACAAAAGCUUGCAGAGGUACAUCAUCAACAAUGGGAAUUCAAAUGGCAGCAAUGGGUAAGCCCAAGAGGGGUCGGCCGACCCCACCAUGGAGCCCUAGACCCACCAUUCAGCAUCCACUCAAUGUCUACCUGCCUUUUGACUAGUUUGCCACUCGUACUCCACCUCUGUUCUUUCAUUUUUCUUACUUCUGUCUCUUGUUUGCUUUAUUAGAUAAAAUAAAACAAAAAUAAAAACAAGAAGACUUGGAUCUAUGAUUUAUGACAUUAAAAGUGUGACAUGAUUCAUGACAUUGAAAGGGUAAAAGUGUCACAAAGUCUAAUUCUUGCUUAUGCUUAUACUUGUGGGUCAUAUAUCUUGAUAGGAAUAUCAUAUUGACUUGGUUGUUGACAAUUGUGAUAUAGUUCUUAGCUCACGAUUCAUACCCUUACUAUUCAAAGUGCUUAGAGAUUUAUUUUUGAAAAUAUCAUAAAACCAUAGUGUCACUUACUCCUCAAUAGUAAGAGAAUUCCUACCACAGCCAUAUAUGUUCAUACCUUGUUCAAAACCCUUCUAUAUUUGCUACUUGUACUUGUGUUGAGUUUAGUCAAACCUUGUGACCCUACUUGAGAAUUAUGUCAUAGUCCCAAGAUCAAGAUCACACACACACCACAUAUAUAUGCUGCUUCUACAUUGGAAGUACACAAAAACAUGCCAUCCAUUUCCACCAUAUAGAUGCUCCAUGUUUUAAGGUUUAGAAUAUCUCUCUCUAAGUAUUGGUUAUAAGAUGAGACACAAAGGCUAUGCUUAGUAAAAAAAGUGGGCACAUGAAGGUCCAUUGCUUUUGAAAAAAGAGAAAAGAAAAAAAAAUAAAAAAGCUAGCCAUGUCUCAAAUAAAACAGAGAGAGAGAUCUUAUCAAAUAUAGGAGCAUUCUAUUCUAAUCAUUUUUCACACACUUACACAUCUUGAUCUAGGAUUAUGACAUUCUUCUCCUUGGAUCCUUGUUUUGACUUUACAAUAGAUACAAUGCAAUUAUGCUAUCUUGUUUCCCCCUACCUGAGCCCCAUAAGCCUAAUAGAUGUAGGAUGAAACAAAAGAAGGCAAUCUUAUGCUAUGCCUUGGUAAGGAAUCCUCUACUUACUGAGUGACUUGAGAAUACUAUUAGAGGAGUAAGGAUGAACUAUGUGCUUUCUUUUAAAACAUUUAUCAAAAACUCUAAGUACUAAGGAUAUGAAAAUGUUAAGAUGACUUUGCUUUGAGAACUAUUCCAUUUUUCAACAUCAUAAGGAUAUAUGUUAGACAGUGCCACAUAACCCACUUGUAUAAGAUAUGUCUUGAGUAGUCUUUGUGUUUGCUUAUAUCUUAAAAGUGCCAUAGUCAUAGUUUAUCUUUCUCUAACCUUUGCUCGAGGACGAGCAAAGACUUAAGUGUGGGGUUUCUUGUUGACGGGAAAUAAGACCCAGUUCUAUAUACUCAAAAGCCCAUCAACAGUUCUCGAUUGAAGGAAGAUAAGCAUCACAUGAACAUGUUUAUCACUAAUAAAGUUCCACUUGUACUACUCUUAGCUUGUUCAAUAUAGGGAAGAAGGAAAUGAGCCCUGUGGGCCCCAUAACCUCGGUCGGCCGACCAUGGUUUGGGCCCACCACGGUCUCCCCUCCAUGGCAUGAGCCAUGGCAUACUCCAAGGAGUCAAUCCUGUAACACCCUAGGUGUUAAGCAUGCACUUAGUCUCAUAAACUCACUCAUA